UACGAAGGGGGCUAGCGUUGCUCGGAAUCACUGGGCGUAAAGCGCACGUAGGCGGCUUUUUAAGUCAGGGGUGAAAUCCUGGAGCUCAACUCCAGAACUGCCUUUGAUACUGAGGAUCUUGAGUUCGGGAGAGGUGAGUGGAACUGCGAGUGUAGAGGUGAAAUUCGUAGAUAUUCGCAAGAACACCAGUGGGCGAAGGCGGCUCACUGGCCCGAUACUGACGCUGAGGCACGAAAGCGUGGGGAG
rnacentral:rRNA from 1 species